GGGGGUCCCUGAGAAGGGAGAAUCCCUCCACACUGGUACUGAGACACUGACCAGACUCCUACUGGAGGCAGCAGUGAGGAAUACUCGGUCAAUGGAGGCCACCUCUGAGCAGCCAUGCCGCGUGCAGGAUGACGGUCCUAUGGAUUGUACACCUGCUUUUGUACAGGAAGAAACCUCCCCUACGGAGUAGGGACUUGACGGUACUGUAAGAAUAAGGAUCGGCUAACUCCGUGCCCAGCAGCCGCGGUAAUACGGAGGAUCCGAGCGUUAUCCGGAAUUAUUGGGUUUAAAGGGUUCGUAGGCGGCUUUGUAAGUCAGUGGUGAAAUUUCCUAGCUUAACUAGGACACUGCCAUUGAUACUGCAGAGCUUGAAUAAUAUGGAAGUAACUAGAAUAUGUAGUGUAGCGGUGAAAUGCUUAGAUAUUACAUGGAAUACCAAUUGCGAAGGCAGGUUACUACGUAUUUAUUGACGCUGAUGAACGAAAGCGUGGGGAGCGAACAGGAUUAGAUACCCUGGUAGUCCACGCCGUAAACGAUGGAUACUAGCUGUUCGGUUUUCGGACUGAGUGGCUAAGCGAAAGUGAUAAGUAUCCCACCUGGGGAGUACGUUCGCAAGAAUGAAACUCAAAGGAAUUGACGGGGGCCCGCACAAGCGGUGGAGCAUGUGGUUUAAUUCGAUGAUACGCGAGGAACCUUACCAGGGCUUAAAUGUAGAUUGACAGAUUUGGAAACAGAUUUUUCUUCGGACAAUUUACAAGGUGCUGCAUGGUUGUCGUCAGCUCGUGCCGUGAGGUGUCAGGUUAAGUCCUAUAACGAGCGCAACCCCUAUUGUUAGUUACCAGCGCGUAGUGGCGGGGACUCUAGCAAGACUGCCGGUGCAAACCGUGAGGAAGGUGGGGAUGACGUCAAAUCAUCACGGCCCUUACGUCCUGGGCUACACACGUGCUACAAUGGCAAGUACAGAAAGCAGCUACCUGGCAACAGGAUGCGAAUCUCCAAAGCUUGUCUCAGUUCGGAUUGGAGUCUGCAACUCGACUCUAUGAAGCUGGAAUCGCUAGUAAUCGGAUAUCAGCCAUGAUCCGGUGAAUACGUUCCCGGGCCUUGUACACACCGCCCUUCAUAUCCAUGGAAGCCUGGGGGUACCUGAAGUCCGGACCGCAAGAAGCAGCCUCUAGAGUGUAGCCUA
rnacentral:rRNA from 1 species